UCCAGUAUAGCUCAAUGGUAGAGCAUUCGGUUGAUAACCGAAAGACACAGGUUGCUUUGCAAUACGCACUGCGUGCUACAACUCCUGUUGCUGGAA
rnacentral:tRNA from 1 species